rnacentral:rRNA from 1 species
AGCUGAUCAUUGGGUGUAAAGCGUGCGCAGGCAGUUUUGUAAGACAGAGGUGAAAUCCCCGGGCUCAACCUGGGAACUGCCUUUGUGACUGCAAGGCUGGAGUGCGGCAGAGGGGGAUGGAAUUCCGCGUGUAGCAGUGAAAUGCGUAGAUAUGCGGAGGAACACCGAUGGCGAAGGCAAUCCCCUGGGCCUGCACUGACGCUCAUGCACGAAAGCGUGGGGAGCAAACA